rnacentral:sRNA from 1 species
GUGACAGAGUGAGAGAGGGGGUGACUAGUGACAGAGUGAAAGAGGGGGUGACUGUCACUAGUCACCCCAUCCCUCACUCUGUCACUAGUCACCCCCUCUCUCACUCUAUCACUAGUCACCCCCUUCCCUCUCUCUGUCACUCCCUCAC